UUUGGGUUUUAGGGUUUCUGAUGCUGAUAAGUUGAUGUUUUUUCAGUUUGGUUGGUGAUGAAAAGGGUUUUGAAUUAACGGCUUAAUUAAACAACUUCAUGAGAAAUAACUUCUAAUGUAUACAAAAACUUCCUCUGAUUUCAAUUUCUCAAAUUAGGGUUUUUAAUUUUAACAUGUUUUUCUUAUUUGGAGUUCAAAUUCGUAGAUUUGGGCAUUUUUUAUUGAUUUUAAUUGUUUAUGUAGUUGGUAGACAUUCAAUUUUGGUAUUGGUUUUCAUUUUUUCUCCUCUUUUUCAGUUAUGGGUUUUCUUGAAUGGAUAAAAGUUGUUCUUGAAUGGGGUUUUCCGACCAUUUUAUUUGUAUGUUGUUGUUGUCGUGGUGGUGUUUCUUGUUAGGUGGUUGUUCUUCUCACUACAUCAGUUUGUGUUGCUGGAUUUUUAUCGGCCUGCUGACUUUUGGAUUGCUCUUCUAGGCAACGAGAACCACCUGUGGAGGACAUCUGUUUCUUGCAUCAUUGAAUAUAAGCAUUUGAAGAGGUAGUGAUGUGUGAUCUUGGACUAAGUUCAGAGCUGAAGGUGGCAUGUAAUUCUGCACUAAGGAAAGUCGCAGGAUUACGAGAAUCAAUCUUAUACGCACUCCAAAAAAUCUGGGCUUAUCAAGAUUGACAGUAUACUUUACUUAUAGCCAUGUAGUUUUACAAUUAUGGUUUGAUGUCGAUCCUAUGGAUAUGCUUAUGACAUGCAGGAUACUUGGUGCAUCCGCCAAAGUUUCUCCAAAGCCUAAAGUCUCUUUAACCGAAAAGUAAUAUAUCAGUAAUAAACUAAGUGUGAUAGUUGGUGCACUCGCCAAAGUUUCUCCAAAUCCUGAAGUCUCUCUGACCUAAAAGGGGCUAGGAAUAUGUGAAAUUCUUCUAAGGAAGCAAAUCAAUAGCAACACCAACCAUCUCCUGUGGUUUUCCUUGUAUCAUCUCAUGCACCCUAUUUGAUUGGUUACAGAAAACAAGCUUUACCAAUAUAUCUUAAGGUUGUCAAAAAUUCCUAAUCUAAUAGCCGACUCAAGUAAGGUGAAUUCAUUGGUGCAGAUAUUUCUAAAUGAUCAAACUACUGAUGUGUUGUGAAAUGGCAGCUUAUUAUCAUUCAGAAACACCUUAUUUAACAAGUAUCCAGGUAUUGCAGUUCUAUUCUUCAUGUGCUUGUUUGAGUUCUUUUUCUCGUCUCUUUUUCAUUUUGCGGUUGUUAGUUGAAAUAGUCUUGGGUUUUAUUUGUAGCUUAAGGAUAGAGUGAUGGACAUGAAUUGGGCUAGUUUGUCAGGCAAUGAUGUCUUGUUAAUUGGUAAUAAGCUGCUAACUUGUAUGGAAGAUUCUGUAGUUGGUUUGUUAAGUUUGUAGGAGGAAUAUCUGCAGGUUAAACUUAUUUUUCCUUAAUGUUGAAAUUUUCAUAUUUGGAAGAUUGUAAAAGUUGUAAUUGAGAACUCAUUUUCAUACAAAUUCAGUUGAAAGUCGUUAUCAAUUCAAUUUGUAAAAUUCAG